GAUGAACGCUGGCGGCGUGCCUAACACAUGCAAGUCGAACGAUCGCAAGAGAGUGGCGCACGGGUGAGUAACACGUAGCUAAUCUGCCCUCAAGACAAGGAUAACUGUAGGAAACUACUGCUAAUACUUGAUAAGCUUACGGACUGUAGAGGUCUAUAAGAAAGAUUUAUCGCUUGAGGAUGAGGCUGCGCGCCAUCAGCUAGUUGGUAAGGUAAUGGCUUACCAAGGCGACGACGGCUAGGGGACCUGAGAGGGUGACCCCCCACACUGGGACUGAGACACGGCCCAGACUCCUACGGGAGGCAGCAGUGAGGAAUAUUGCUCAAUGGGCGCAAGCCUGAAGCAGCGACGCCGCGUGGAUGAAGAAGGUUUUCGGACUGUAAAAUCCUUUUCUGUGUGACGAGAGUGGACGGUAGCACAGGAAUAAGUCUCGGCUAACUACGUGCCAGCAGCCGCGGUAAU
rnacentral:rRNA from 1 species